rnacentral:lncRNA from 1 species
GCUGCUCUCUGACCUCUAUCAGCACUUGAGUUUUCAAUGCGUUGAGAGGGGUGUAGCUAUGGAAUCUUCUCGGGGGAGAGCUCCGUCGAACUCUGUGGUCCGGGUUCCUUUGCCUACGAGCCCAGGGAGGAGUCUGGACACGCUUGUGUCCAGAGGGAGUUCGAGAAUGCAGCCGAGCUUCACUCGGCCCUUUUUCAACUGUGGGCUUGCUGGAGUCUCCUGCUUGCCAC